UACAGAGGGUGCGAGCGUUGUCCGAAGUUACUGGGCGUAAAGCGCGCGUAGGCGGGUGGGUAAGUCCGCUGUGAAAGCCCGGAGCUUAACUCCGGAGGUCGGUGGAUACUGCCCAUCUUGAAGGUGCUAGGGGGAGAUGGAAUUACCGGUGUAGCGGUGAAAUGCGUAGAGAUCGGUAGGAACACCAGUGGCGAAGGCGGUCUCCUGGAGCAUACUUGACGCUGAGGCGCGAAAGCUAGGGGGAGCAAAACAGG
rnacentral:rRNA from 1 species